rnacentral:rRNA from 1 species
GUGUCAGCAGCCGCGGUAACACGGGGGGAGCAGGCGUUGUUCGGAAUCACUGGGCGUAAAGGGCGUGUAGGCGGCCGAGUUAGUGAGACGUGAAAUGCCCCGGCUCACCCGGGGACCGGCGUCUCAUACUGCUCGGCUUGAGUAUGGGAGAGGAUGAGGGAAUUCCUGGUGUAGCGGUGAAAUGCGUAGAUAUCAGGAGGAACACCGGUGGCGAAGGCGCUCAUCUGGCCCAAUACUGACGCUGAGGCGCGAAAGCUAGGGGAGCAAACGGGAUUAGAUACCCCCGUAGUCC